rnacentral:misc_RNA from 1 species
UUUUACUCCAACGUGUUUACG